UGCGAUACUUGGUGUGAAUUGCAGAAUCCCGUGAACCAUCGAGUCUUUGAACGCAAGUUGCGCCCGAAGCCUUCGGGCCGAGGGCACGCCUGCCUGGGCGUCACGC
rnacentral:rRNA from 1 species